rnacentral:rRNA from 2 species
UUGGUGCUUGCAUCAUGAUUUACAUUUGAGUGAGUGGCGAACUGGUGAGUAACACGUGGGAAACCUGCCCAGAAGCGGGGGAUAACACCUGGAAACAGAUGCUAAUACCGCAUAACAACUUGGACCGCAUGGUCCGAGUUUGAAAGAUGGCUUCGGCUAUCACUUUUGGAUGGUCCCGCGGCGUAUUAGCUAGAUGGUGGGGAUGAUACGGCUCACCAUGGCAAUGAUACGUAGCCGACCUGAGAGGGUAAUCGGUCCACAUUGGGACUGAGACACGGCCCAAACUCCUACKGGAGGCAGCAGUAGGGAAUUCUUCCACAAUGGCACGAAAGUUCUGAUGGUAGGCAACGCCGCCGUGAGUGAAGAAGGGUUUCGGCUCGUAAAACUCUGUUGUUAAAGAAGAACAUAUCUGAGAGUAACUGUUCAGGUAUUGACGGUAUUUAAUCCAGAAAGCCACGGCUAACUACGUGCCAGCAGCCGCGGUAAUACGUAGGUGGCAAGCGUUGUCCGGAUUUAUUGGGCGUAAAGCGAGCGCAGGCGGUUUUUUAAGUCUGAUGUGAAAGCCUUUCGGCUCAWCCGAAGAAGUGCAUCGGAAACUGGGAAACUUGAGUGCAGAAGAGGACAGUGGAACUCCAUGUGUAGCGGUGAAAUGCGUAGAUAUAUGGAAGAACACCAGUGGCGAAGGCGGCUGUCUGGUCUGUAACUGACGCUGAGGCUCGAAAGUAUGGGUAGCAAACAGGAUUAGAUACCCUGGUAGUCCAUACCGUAAACGAUGAAUGCUAAGUGUUGGAGGGUUUCCGCCCUUCAGUGCUGCAGCUAACGCAUUAAGCAUUCCGCCUGGGGGAGUACGGGCCGCAAGGCUGAAACUCAAAGGAAUUUGACGGGGGCYCGCACAAGCGGUGGAGCAUGUGGUUUAAUUCGAAGCUACGCGAAGAACCUUACCAGGUCUUGACAUACUAUGCAAAUCUAAGAGAUUAGACGUUUCCCUUCGGGGACAUGGAUACAGGUGGUGCAUGGUUGUCGUCAGCUCGUGUCGUGAGAUGUUGGGUUAAGUCCCUGCAACGAGCGCAACCCUUAUUAUCAGUUGCCAGCAUUAAGUUGGGCACUCUGGUGAGACUGCCGGUGACAAACCGGAGGAAGGUGGGGAUGACGUCAAAUCAUCAUGCCCCUUAUGACCUGGGCUCACACACGUGCUACAAUGGAUGGUACAACGAGUUGCGAACUCGCGAGAGUAAGCUAAUCUCUUAAAGCCAUUCUCAGUUCGGAUUGUAGGCUGCAACUCGCCUACAUGAAGUCGGAAUCGCUAGUAAUCGCGGAUCAGCAUGCCGCGGUGAAUACGUUCCCGGGCCUUGUACACACCGCCCGUCACAC